CUACGGGUCGCAGCAGUGAGGAAUAUUGCACAAUGGGGGGAACCCUGAUGCAGCAACGCCGCGUGGAGGACGACGCAUUUCGGUGUGUAAACUCCUUUUAUAUGUCAAGAAAAUGACGGUAGCAUAUGAAUAAGCACCGGCUAACUCCGUGCCAGCAGCCGCGGUAAUACGGAGGGUGCAAGCGUUACUCGGAAUCACUGGGCGUAAAGGACGCGUAGGCGGGUUGGAAAGUCAGGUGUGAAAUCCUACAGCUUAACUGUAGAACUGCACUUGAAACUUCUAAUCUAGAGUAUGGGAGGGGGAGAUGGAAUUAGUGGUGUAGGGGUAAUAUCCGUAGAUAUCACUAGGAAUACCUAAAGCGAAGGCGAUCUCCUGGAACAUUACUGACGCUAAGGCGUGAAAGCGUGGGGAGCAAACAGGAUUAGAUACCCCGGUAGUC
rnacentral:rRNA from 1 species